CGGUAUAUACCCAGCUUUCCCAACUCUAUCUUGAGGAUUCCCUAUUUCCCUUGCUCGAGGAAUCCUUAAUGGGCGUCAAACACGGACAAUUACUGCGGCAGCAAAUCAGGGAUUCAUAUUUGGAAUCAUCCUGUCUGGAACUAUGGUCGUAAAAGAAACAAAGAGAACGCUGCGGAUGGAUCAUUCUCCGGCAUCCGAGAAUAUGCAGGCGGAAGGGCGCUCGAUUCAUUUUUACAAAAACGUGCAGAAAACAUCAAGAAAUCUAGGACCAAUCCUCCGGGUUUUGCCCCUGUCGAAGGGUCUCUUCAAAAUAGCUCAGGGUCCAAUCGGUCUCCUUUGUCUACUGUUGAUCAUAAUUCACCCCUUGGAUUUGUUAUGGGAACCACAACCAAAGGUUGCAACGUAACUCCGAUGUAUACUUGGCACUCUAAUGGGAAUCAUGGUCAUGAUAUCAGCUCCCAUAUAACAAGCAUAGGUUCUGAACGUACCCCUGUUGGAAGCACUGGUCCUAACAAUGCUGCUGGCCAUGUGAAUGAUACACAAGAAAGAGAUACUCCGUAGUUGCCUUCCUCGCGCGCAAUUAGUGCAAAAUCAGAUCAUAUGAUUAUUCUCCUGCGGUGCUGUAAAUUGGAUGGAUUCAUUCUCGCACUCUCCGCUGAAGAACUCGCAGAAUAGAGGAUAUGUUGGGUUUUUCAUUGAAGGAUGCAUCUGACUAUGCACAAUUGUAUAUAUUUUACUGUUCCCGAAUGUAUGUUCCAUGUGCUGAUUAAAUGGUUUGUGAUUGAUACUUUGUAUGGUGUUGAUGCUUUCAGAUGGUGAGAAUUCAGAGCAUGUUGCUUUUGAUCUAUAGAAUGGAUAUUUAUCUUUGGGAACUCCUACUGUUAUACCCGAAUGUAUGUUCCAUGUGCUGAUUAAAUGGUUUGUGAUUGAUACUUUGUAUGGUGUUGAUGCUUUCAGAUGGUGAGAAUUCAGAGCAUGUUGCUUCUGAUCUAUAGAAUGGAUAUUUAUCUUUGGGAACUCCUACUGUUAUAUGUGGCAAAUGUGGUGCACUAAUGUGGAACAUGGAGAGAAACAACAAGUCAAAUAUGAAUUCCACUCCGACCUUUUCAAUCUGCUGCAAAGAUGGAGCUGUUGUGCUACCUAGGGAGGAGAAUGCACCAGAGCCUCUAUCAUCUCUCCUACACGGCAGUGAGCGUUCUGCAGGAUUCAGGCGAAACAUUCGAGUUUAUAACAGUAUGUUUGCAACGUGUUCUAGCGGUGGUAAGGAUGGCUUCAGGCCCUCCAAACUUAUUUAUUCUCUACCAUUGACAACUACACUAUAAAGCAACUACUCAUCCAGAUGUUGUGUAAAACCAUGUUGCUGUCGAGUCUUGCUUAUGCAUUUUCUUGCAGCAUCGAUUUGGCUUGUAGAGCUCCUGCCACUGGUGCCUCUUCAAGGUCAUCAAUUUCAGGUGGAUCAUAUGCCGCUUGCUGAUUGACCGGGAAUUCUGCUUCCUCGAGAAUCCGAGCUGAGCUGGCACAACCAAUCGUAAUGGCUAGCAACAAAAGGUACAUGUAGUUUUGAGUAUAUUUGAGCUGUGUAGCUGGACUUUGGCCAUUUUUUUCGUUUUACUAGGAAUUAAGAUGCACAUAUGCAAGUGAGGUUUGAGGGUCAGGAGACAUGAGUUUAUGAAUUUGAGGAUCUUAGUCUCUAAUAUUUGUAAUUUGUUGUGCAACACGAAAACAGAAAAGGACCUGAUCUCAUGGAGUUAUUGCUGCAUCAUUCACCCAGUAUUGCAAUGUGUGAUAUUGGGAAAAUACCAAUUUGAUAAUAAAAAAUUAUUAGUUAUGGAAUUCAUUCAUGUAGGAAUAUUUAAUCCGGGGAAACUAUAUGAGAAGAUUGGUUUUGAUAGAAAAAUUAUAUCAAGAGGAAAUUUGCAGAGCUUACACCUGAUAAGCAACAUUGAUAUACCAAGUUCAGGUUAGAAGUUAGCUCACCUAUAAGGUUUUUAAGUUGCCCAAGUUGGUUCUUGAACUUCUCUUUCCACUUGAUUAAAUUACAAUUGACAAAUAUUUAGCUUGCAGGACAGAUGAAGUAUAGUUGUUUGCUAUGACUACUCAGAAUGCAUACAAGCAAUUACAUGACAACGAAGCUCAUUCAAAACCGAUAACAGUAUGACAGUGAACUGCAUAUAUAUUAUUUUUAAUACUUCUGACUUGAGUUUCAGUUUCUUAUUGUCCUUCGAGCAUAUGCAUAAACUGAAGAAAGUUGCACAAGGCAGAGUUUGGACCGACAAUGAUGCUGCUUUGCGAGAUUUAGUUGAUGCUAUUGGUGGUCUCUCCUCUCCUGUGUUGCUGCUAUAGCAAAACAGAAGGUGAAGAUACUCCUGGACAAAAAGAUUUGAUUGGGUCAUCAUAAAAUAAUGUGGUCUUGGAAUUAUGUGUUUAUAGCCUAGAGCUGUCCUUAAAAGAGAUCUCACUUGAUAAGGAUAUCAGGUACUCGCUCUGCAGGGACCACAUGUUGCAAGCUGCCUGUUGCAGUAGACAUUUUAUAUUCAGAGUUUUGGAAGGGAACAGAAGAUAACACAGGUUAUAAGGCAGAAAUGGCAAUGAAAAAUGGAACCAAACUGGAGAAUAAAAGAGCAAGUCUUCAGAAUAACAAUGGCUUCAUUGUGAAUCCUUUGGCAGAAGUCCAUAGCAAUUGCCAGGGGAUAUCAAAGAUUGUCUAACUAUGAACUUAUCGUAGUUGGUUUUGCUCUUAGAUUCCAUCCUAAAGCCUUAAGAUCAACAUUGUAGAAUUUUGAUAUUUUAGCUUCAACUCCUUUUUGGACUUCAUUUUGGCAAUUACUUGCAGGCCAUAUUUUUUCGUGUUGGACUUAGUAGUGAUUUCAAAAAGUAAAAUCUUUGAAUUUUAUUUUAAGCUAGAUGGAAGAAUUCCUUUUUAUGUUUUAUAUCCAUUAUGCGGAAAAAA